rnacentral:rRNA from 1 species
UACAGAGGGUGCGAGCGUUAAUCGGAAUGACUGGGCGUAAAGCGCGCGUAGGCGGUUAUACAAGUUGGGUGUGAAAUCCCUGGCGUUAACCUAGGAGUUGCAUUCAAACUAAUAUGACUUGAGUGAAGUAGAGGUGAGUGGAAUUUACCGGUACGUAGCGGUGAAAUGCGUAGAUACCGGAAGGAACACCAGUGGCGAAGGCGACUCACUGGGC